AUGCUCGCGGGCUCCAGUUUAAACAGCCGCUGGGGCCACGACAGAACAGUCGGCUGGUGAUUUUUGACGAGAAUAAAGCUUCUGAAACUGAGCCGCAGGAGCCCAGAUUUGAGAUCUGGACGGCGCCACCUACCGCCCGAGCCAAAGAGAACGAACAGAAGCCUGAGAAGUGGACCAACGUGAAGAUGCCUCUGAAGUCCAGAUCGGGCCUCAGCGUCGCCGUUCCUCCUCCUAAACCCAGCUUCCAGCCGUUUGUGGAAGAGGACGUCCAGCCUCCCGCUGUGACUCCGUGUAAGAUCAACCCGGCGGUGAACUCGGUGCUGUCGUCCAGGAAGCCCUGCAGGCCGGAGCAGACGCCGCUGAAGAUGCUGCAGGAGCGGAAUGCAGCUCCAGACGCAGGAGGACGGGAAGAGCCGAGAGCAGAGCAUGUACUGCAGAGAGCUGCUGUACAGCGGAGCCAGCGAGUUCUGCUUCGAGGAGCUGCGCGCCGAGCGCUACCGACAGAAACACGCUCACAGACUACUGACCAAAACCUGAGCAAACCCAUGCAAACUGAAGAUUCUUAGAUGCAUCUCAGAUGUCUGAAAGAGUAGGCAGCUCACUGUCAUUGUUGUGUAUAACCAUUCCUGUGUUUUUGUACUAUUACUUUUUAUUUGUUAUAUUACUAUUUUUUUUUGUAACGUCCUACUAGUAUUUUUUUAUUUUUUAUUUUAUUUGUUUUUUUUUUUUUUUUUGCAUUUUUAUUUUUUUUAGUUAAAGUUUUUACUAAUGCUGUGUAUUUUUUAAGUUUUUACAAUUUUUAAAUGUCUUUUUUUUAUAUGCCUUUUUAAUUUUUAUUUCAAUUUUUAGUACUGAAACUAAAUAAAUAUAAGAAAUGUUGCUAUCUUUAGCAACUAGCUUUUAAAUAUUUCAUUAUUUUAGUUACAGAUCAUUUUAUUUCACAUAAAUGGAUUUUUUUUUUUUUAAUGGUUUUAGUUUUGAAAACCCUGUUCCAGUGUUAUUUCAGUAUCAUUAUAUGUUUUAUAUAUAUAUAUAUAGUUUUUAAAUAAUAUAUAUAGUUUUUAUUUGUCAUGUUUCCUAGUAUACCUAUUAUCGUUUCUAUUAAUUAUUAAUUCUGUUUUAGUUAUUUUAGUACUUGAAGUUUAACCAAACAGAAAUUAGGAAAAGUUGCCUUAAUUUAAAAUAAGUGAGUUUUUUUAAUAUUUCACUUAAGUUAUAUAUAGUUUUAUUUGUCAUGUUUCCUAGUAUACCUAUAUCGUUUCUAUUAAUUAUUAAUUCUGUUUUAGUUAUUUUAGUACUUGAAGUUUAACCAAACAGAAAUUAGGAAAGUUGCCUUAAUUUAAAAUAAGUGAGUUUUUUUAAUAUUUCACUUAAGUUAAUGUCUAUUUUUUUUAGUUUUAGUUUUGGUUAACGAUAAUAACCCAUCCCUGCACUAGUAAAUGGACACAAUAAGACAAGGCACAUGCAUUAAGAAUGCAUUAAGCAUUAACAUGCAUCUUCUAAUAGCUGAAGUGCACUAAUGUGUUCACGUGCUUAUCUCACCUCAUCCCCGUCUUCUUUCCCCUGCAGGACUCCGUGUAAGAUCAACCCGGCGGUGAACUCGGUGCUGUCGUCCAGGAAGCCCUGCAGGCCGGCAGACGCCGCUGAAGAUGCUGCAGGAGCGGAUGCAGCUCCAGACGCAGGAGGACGGGAAGAGCCGAGAGCAGAGCAUGUACUGCAGAGAGCUGCUGUACAGCGGAGCCAGCGAGUUCUGCUUCGAGGAGCUGCGCGCCGAGCGCUACCGACAGAAACACGCUCACAGACUACUGACCAAACCUGAGCAAACCCAUGCAAACUGAAGAUUCUUAGAUGCAUCUCAGAUGUCUGAAAGAGUAGGCAGCUCACUGUCAUUGUUGUGUAUAACCAUUCCUGUGUUUUUGUACAUACUUUUUAUUUUGUAUAUACAUUUUUUUUUGUAACGCCACAGAUUUCUUUUUUUUUUGUAUGUUGCAAGAGGAGCAUUUAUGAAUAGACAUUAUAUCGUCAUUUGGUUGUAUGCGGUAAUUAAUGCUUCAAUAAAUGCAUCUGGUUCCAUAAUAUUAAACUGCUUUUGUAGUUUGACUUCAGGAAUUCAUUUGCACUUUGUUUCAAACACACUGUCAGCAGAGUUCAGCUGGAAGAAGAUGAGAAAGUAGUUUAUUUGCAUGCACUUCACUGUCAUUUGUAACUGAAACAGAGUAAUGUGGUAAUAUAAUAGUCUUAUUGCACAAACACUGCUGGGUGAGUUACACACUUAAGUUAAUAUGCAAUUCAAUGUCUAUUUUUAUUUCAGUUUUAGUUAAGUACUUUAACUACACUAAAUUGAGAAAUGCUGCCUUGGCAACUAGCCUUUUCUAAAUAGUUUUUUUUUUUAUGGUUUUGAAACCAAUGGUUUUGGUUUCUUUAUAUAUUAACAAGAAUAUAUAGUUUUUAAUUAUCAUUUUGAGUUUAUUUUUAUAUUUUAUUUAUAUUUUAUAAUUUUUCUGUUUACACAAGUUUUUAGUAAUUUUGUUGUUUUUGUAUUUUUUGUUGUGGUUAUGUCUUUUUAUUUGUUUUUAUUUUUCAGUGUUAGUUAUUGAAGUUAAACUCAAAUUUUGCCUUGGCAACUAGCUUUUUUUAAAAAAAAAUAUUUUAUUUCAAUUUAAUUCUUAAGUUUUAGUUUUUUAGUUUUAUUGUUUCUAAUCUGUCAUCUAUAUAGUUUAUAUUCAUUUUUAUUAAGUUUUAGGUAUUUUAGUACCUAAAUGCAACAGAAUAGAAAUGCUGCUUUGGCUAUGACUGAAAUAAAACAUGACCUCUCUCUGCUGAUCAGAGCUGCUUGAAAUAAGAGUAAACAGAGCUGUAAACACGUCAUUCACUGUCGCACCAGCAGGUGGCGCUGCAGGGGGAUGAGGCCAAAACACUAUUCACACAUCUCUCAGCCAUUCACUGUUGAUAAAACGUUCAUUUAUGAUUUAAAGUGUAAACAUGCAGUAAAUCAAAUUAAAAGAGCAGGUUGUACAUGAUCUAAAAUACCUUAAAUUUCGUCAUAUUAAAUCACUCAAAUCAUAUAUAGGCCUGUUUUUUUUUUUAUGUUUAAUUUCUUCUGCGAACUGUGUUUAUCGCGGUAAAUCUUUGAUGAUUCAUCUUCUGUCAUCAUAUUUCAUAGCGUCACCAGCCUGCGAUGACCCUCAUUAUAAUAUCAUUAAUUAUUCAUGAGCUGAUUCUGACACGUCGGCAACCGUUUAUAAAACGUUUUUAAAAACAGAGUAAAAGUAAAAACAGAGAGGUCGUAUCUGAUCCGACACAUUAAAAUGACUUAAAAUCCAGUUAAAAACUAAUGUAGGUUAAUUAAUUCACUCACUCAAAUAGCCUAUAUACUAUAUUUUUUUAAUUGUGAUGAAUAAAUUAAAGCAAUUUCUGGUAUUUCUACUGGAAGCUAUGUUUUCCGUGCUAAAUAUUUGAUGAUUCAGCUUCUGUCCUGUCAUGACCCUCAUCAUCUCAUGAAUUAUUCAUGAGCUGACCGCUUUAUCAGCGCGCGACACCUCCUCUCAUCCGAAGAUACCUGCCGUCUCAAAUCACGCGCUCGCGUGGAAACGCUUCACCACGGCGACAGAGGGGGCGUGAACCGUCUCCUAGGUAACGCUGCCACACACACACACACACACACACACACACACACACGUGGAGGAGAGAGAGAGAGGAGGAACACACACACACACACACACACACACACACACUGGAGGAGAGAGAGAGAGAGGAGGCAGGCUGUUCUCGUUUCCUCUAGAUGUGGACUGUACCUUGUUUUGUGCAUGGCAUCAUCAUGGCACCGGUAGCAAGGGAUGCUGGGAGAUCAGAUGGAGCAUCAUCUCUCUGAGAUGGCAGAAAUGCAUCGCGGCAUCCUGCAGUGGGAGGCUGAUUGAGCUCAUACAGCACCACAAAGCCUCUUCCCAGCUGGAGAGGCGCGUGAAUCCCUCAUCACACAACGGCAAGGUAAGAAGCGCGGCUGCACGCGAGCUAAUGCUGCCGCGCGCCGCCGCUUUGUGUUGCAUCGCCGGAGAGAGACGCGCAGACAGCGAGCCAAAGCACAAAGCCUGGUCGACAACGAGAAGGUGAAGCUGUGCUGAUGAGGAAAUGCUUUCACCUUCCCUCUCCCUCGCGCAACCCCACCUCCUCCUGCGCUCUCGCGCUGCAUUUGCAUACAAAGAUGAAAAUAUAGCCUACUCGAGGCAUCGUCUGGGCUUCCUCAGAUCGGCACAAAUGGCAGGAACUUACAAAAUGGAUCCCAUUAUGGAGCUGAUAUAUAUAUUAAACUUCCUUCAGGGAAUUAUAGGACACCCUCAGAAGCACGUCUAGAUGUUCUCCAAACAGUGAUCUGAGGAAGCGCAAAUGGAGCAUUGUCGUUUUUAAAGUGAAGAGUCAAUCAUACUUAAUUAACUGUCACCCCCCCAUUUUUUUAAAUAGGCAUUAAAGUGCACUAACCAAACUUAAAUUGUUGUAAUUUAUGAACACUUCGGAAUAUAGACCUAAGGUUGGUCUCUUAUUAGAAAAUUAGCAGAUUUUGGCAAAAGUGGAUUUUUUAAAAAAAAAAAUUAAAGUAUCAAAAAGUUAUAGAAGUUUAAAUGUACUGUAAAUAAAAUGCGCUAUAUUAAUUUUAUUAUAUUUUAUUUAUUAUAAAUAUUUUACAUAACAGAUUUUACUCUAAAAUUGGUAUAAAAUUAAAGCCUU
rnacentral:lncRNA from 1 species